AAGGACUUAAGUUAAGUAAACUUUUAACCUUCAAAGUUAUAAAUAAAAUAACAAUUUUAGGCCUUA
rnacentral:tRNA from 1 species